CAAUUUUGAUUUGAUAGCUUAAUUUAAUGUAUUAUAGUAGUACAUAAAUAGAAAAUGCCAUUUCAAGAGAUUGCAUUGCUUUCAUGAAUAAUAAUAUGGAUUUCUCAUUCACACUGUUUCUUCUAGUAUCAUUAGCCUUUUCAUUCCAAUGUUCAUCUUCUUCUUCUUCAUCAUCAUCAUCACUUAGAAAAGGUUCAUCCCUCUCUGUAGAAAAUCCAGAAGAUAAAC
rnacentral:lncRNA from 1 species